ACCAAGGAGUCUAACGUGCGCCCGAGUCGCGGGGUGUCGUGCAGUCCGGCGGCGUUCUUUCGAGGGCGUGGUCGGCUGCUCGUUACAAUACGAAACCCGUCUCGUUUUACGAAAGGCGCAAUGAAAGUGAAUUUAGGGGAAGAUGACGUUACCGAGUUCACGUUUCGCGCUCUUGUAGCGCGGCCGGUCGUCCGCAUUCCCAGGGCGUUCCAACGGCCCGGCGGCGUUGCGGAUCGUCGUUCCCUCGGGGGCGGCGGUCGGGCGUCGUCGAACCGGAGCGCACCUAUGGCGUGCACGUUGGUACCCGAAAGAUGGUGAACUAUGCCCGGCCAGGAUGAAGUCAGGGGAAACCCUGAUGGAGGUCCGCAGCGAUUCUGACGUGCAAAUCAAUCGUCUGAGCUGGGUAUAGGGGCGAAAGACUAAUCGAACCAUC
rnacentral:rRNA from 1 species